CACCUUUUCACAUUGUCAGUGAGCAGACAGAAGUGGAAACAAUUAACAGCAGAAAAGAACAGACAGAUUCUGAGUUCAAAGACUUAAUCCAGCAGGGAAUUGCCUCCAUAGAAACGAUUAUUUCUGGGAAUCCUGAAAAGCAGUCCACACCAGCUGAGAAAAACAAAACUGAUAUUCCUAAAGAUGAAAGUCAGAAUCCUGUUGAUUCAAAAAUGAAUGCAUUAGAAAAAUGACUGGAAAAUGUCACCGCCACUUUGAAUAACCUUCAAAACCACAUAGAGGAGCUGUUCCAGAACUAACAUCACA